AUUCUGCCCAAGCGGGGAAGGAUGAGAAGCUUCGACCAAGGCUCGACUCGAGCGCCAGCGAGAGAGCGUUGCCGCA
rnacentral:sRNA from 1 species